rnacentral:lncRNA from 1 species
UCUUCUUCCCAAAAGAUAGUUCUAAGACAUCAACCAAUACAUGUAAGAUAUACAUUAGUUUGGUCUGGAAAGGCAGAAAAACUGGAAGCAGGGCCUUCCAGGACAUAGGUGGAUUCAAAGAUUUUCUGAUUGGCAAUUGGCUGAAAGAAUUAUUAUCUAAAGACCUGGAAUCAAUAGGAAGGAAUGUCUAGGUUAAGACAAGGGGUUGUGAAGACCGAGGUUUUAUCAUGCAGUACAAUUUUUUCAGGGCCUGCUAUUUUUCAUGUGAUGCCAUACUAGAGUCAGGCUAGAAUUUGUGUCUUAUUGCUACAAAAAGUCUUUUCUGGCAGUCUUAGGAUCUCCAUUUUAAUGUUAAUGCUAGUCAGCUGUGCCUGGAUUCCAAAAGAAGGAGGGUAUAAUGAUGUGGAUUUUGCAACGUGUGACUGUGAGCUUACACUGAGCAGGGCUUGUGGUCUGGAUUAUGGGAUGGUUCCUCCUGUUUUUGAAUUUGCUU